AUGAACCUGGUCAAGAAAAAGCUUGUAGGCUUGCUCACAGUUACAGAUACAGCACUGAUAGUGGAAAUUCCUCAAUGGUAUCCUGUUAAUGUGCUUCAGUUCUGACCUGAAAGAACCUUUAUGGCUGACAGGAUAGUUUAAUUUUCAUGCCCAUUCAAUCUUUGGCCUCU
rnacentral:sRNA from 1 species